rnacentral:rRNA from 1 species
GUGAGGUAACGGCUCACCAAGGCCACGAUGCGUAGCCGACCUGAGAGGGUGAUCGGCCACACUGGGACUGAGACACGGCCCAGACUCCUACGGGAGGCAGCAGUAGGGAAUCUUCCGCAAUGGACGAAAGUCUGACGGAGCAACGCCGCGUGAGUGAUGAAGGUUUUCGGAUCGUAAAACUCUGUUGUUAGGGAAGAACAAGUAUCGGAGUAACUGCCGGUACCUUGACGGUACCUAACCAGAAAGCCACGGCUAACUACGUGCCAGCAGCCGCGGUAAUACGUAGGUGGCAAGCGUUGUCCGGAAUUAUUGGGCGUAAAGCGCGCGCAGGUGGUUCCUUAAGUCUGAUGUGAAAGCCCACGGCUCAACCGUGGAGGGUCAUUGGAAACUGGGGAACUUGAGUGCAGAAGAGGAAAGUGGAAUUCCAAGUGUAGCGGUGAAAUGCGUAGAGAUUUGGAGGAACACCAGUGGCGAAGGCGACUUUCUGGUCUGUAACUGACACUGAGGCGCGAAAGCGUGGGGAGCGAACAGGAUUAGAUACCCUGGUAGUCCACGCCGUAAACGAUGAGUGCUAAGUGUUAGAGGGUUUCCGCCCUUUAGUGCUGCAGCAAACGCAU